UACGUAGGGGGCAAGCGUUGUCCGGAAUCAUUGGGCGUAAAGCGCGUGUAGGCGGCUCGAUAAGUCUGCUGUGAAAGUCCAGGGCUCAACCCUGGAAUGCCGGUGGAAACUGUCGAGCUAGAGUCCGGAAGAGGCGAGUGGAAUUCCUGGUGUAGCGGUGAAAUGCGCAGAUAUCAGGAGGAACACCAAUGGCGAAGGCAGCUCGCUGGGACGGUACUGACGCUGAUGCACGAAAGCGUGGGGAGCAAACAGG
rnacentral:rRNA from 1 species